UACGAAGGGGGCUAGCGUUGCUCGGAAUCACUGGGCGUAAAGGGUGCGUAGGCGGGUCUUUAUGUCAGGGGUGAAAUCCUGGAGCUCAACUCCAGAACUGCCUUUGAUACUGAGGAUCUUGAGUUCGGGAGAGGUGAGUGGAACUGCGAGUGUAGAGGUGAAAUUCGUAGAUAUUCGCAAGAACACCAGUGGCGAAGGCGGCUCACUGGCCCGAUACUGACGCUGAGGCACGAAAGCGUGGGGAUCAAACAGGAGUU
rnacentral:rRNA from 1 species